rnacentral:rRNA from 1 species
UACAGAGGGUGCGAGCGUUGUUCGGAAUUAUUGGGCGUAAAGGGCGCGUAGGCGGCGCGGUAAGUCACCUGUGAAAUCUCCUGGCUCAACUGGGAGCUUGCAGGCGAAACUGCCGUGCUGGAGUGUGGGAGAGGUGCGUGGAAUUCCUGGUGUAGCGGUGAAAUGCGUAGAUAUCUGGAGGAAUACCGGUGGCGAAGGCGGCAUCCUGGACCGAGAUUGACGCUGAGGAGCGAAAGCUAGGGGAGCAAACGGG